AUACAGAGGUCCCAAGCGUUGUUCGGAUUCACUGGGCGUAAAGGGUGCGUAGGCGGUCGGGUAAGUCUGAUGUGAAAUCUUCAAGCUCAACUUGGAAACUGCAUCGGAUACUAUUCGGCUCGAGGAAUGGAGGGGAGACUGGAAUACUUGGUGUAGCAGUGAAAUGCGUAGAUAUCAAGUGGAACACCAGUGGCGAAGGCGAGUCUCUGGACAUUUCCUGACGCUGAGGCACGAAAGCUAGGGGAGC
rnacentral:rRNA from 1 species